CGGUGCAGUUAGGCCUCUUCCGACUCUUCUUCGUGAGAUUUGAAGACACGUCGCGAGAUCUCACCUGAAGCGGUCACGGGAUCCGCCUCGGAUUUGCGGUUUCAGUCGUUCCAACUUCCGGCGCAGAGGCCGGAAACGCGCCGUGAGGGACUGAGCAAAAAUAGCCUGUUGGGGCCGAACCGUAAGGGUGGUUGUCCAUUUGGCAUGACCGUUGGAACCCAGGCAAGAUGAUUGGUCAGAACUGCAGUGAUGAGUGCUGCUUAACUACAGAUUCUAGCCACUGGAGCACACCAACUAGUCUACCCACACAGCACAUUGCAAACCUGCAAAGAAAGAGGCGCUCCUGAUCAGGCGGAGCGGACCCUGUUCAGAGAAUGCCCGCCUGGGGCUGCAGAACUGUGAAAGACCUACAUGGCAAAAACGUAAAAUAUAUAUGAAAGAGGGCUGUUAGAGAAGCCACGAAGCGUCAGGAAUAAAGGGUGAGCUUAGGCAGCACAAAUGCAGACCAAUAGAUAUGGAUAGAAGCUUUUAAACUGAAUAAGAAUAAUUCAAGCUGGCUUCCCUUCUUUAAAACAGGAGGGUUUCUCUCUGGUCAUAGCUUAUGUCAAAAAACAAUUCCGUACCUACUUACUAAUAAAUCUGUAUAUAAUAAUAAAGAUAACCUUCCACUAUACAGGUAAAAGCUAUUUCAAAUGUUCAACCCUUUCUAACCUAAAACAGUGCUUUUAAAGAUUCAAAAAAGCACAGUAAUGUUAUCUAAAUAAUUUGACAUUUGCCAAAUAAAUUUA